GACGAACGCUGGCGGCGUGCCUAAUACAUGCAAGUCGAACGCAGUUGCGAACGGGUGAGUAACGCGUAGGUAACUGCCUCAUUGCGGGGGAUUACUAUUGGUAACGAUAGCUAAUACCGCAUACUGUGAUAUGGACCUGCGUUGUAUUUGUUAGUUGGUGAGGUAAAGGCUCACCAAGGCGACGAUACAUAGCCGACAUGGGAGGGUGAUCGGCCACAAUGGGACUGAGACACGGGCCAGACGCCUACGGGAGGCAGAAGUAGGGAAGCUUCGGCAAGGGACGGAAGUGGGAGCGAGCAACGCGGGGUGAGUGAAGAAGGUGUUCGGAUCGGAAAGCGCUGUUGUUAGAGAAGCGGUAACUAACCAGAAAGGGAAGGAUAACUACGUGCCAGCAGCCGCGGUAAUUC
rnacentral:rRNA from 1 species